rnacentral:rRNA from 2 species
AGGUUAAGUUAACAAGGGCGCAUGGUGAAUGCCUUGGCACUAGGAGCCGAUGAAGGACGGGACUAACACCGAUAUGCUUCGGGGAGCUGUACGUAAGCUAUGAUCCGGAGAUUUCCGAAUGGGGCAACCCAGCAGUUUUAAUCAACUGUUACCACUAGAUGAAUUCAUAGUCUAGUUGGAGGUAAACGCUGUGAACUGAAACAUCUCAUUAGCAGCAGGAAUAUAAAGAAAUUUCGAUUCCCUAAGUAGCGGCGAGCGAACGGGGAACAGCCCAAACCAAAGUGCUUGCACUUUGGGGUUGUAGGACUGAACAUUUGAGUUACCAAAGAACUUGAUAGUCGAAGGAUUUGGGAAAAUCCGCCAUAGAUGGUGAUAGCCCAGUAGAUUAAAUCAAAUUCUCUCAGUUCAGGAUCCUGAGUACGGCGGAGCACGUGAAAUUCCGUCGGAAUCCGGGAGGACCAUCUCCCAAGGCUAAAUACUACCUAGUGACCGAUAGUGAACCAGUACCGUGAGGGAAAGGUGAAAAGCACCCCGGGAGGGGAGUGAAAUAGUUCCUGAAACCAUGUGCCUACAAUAAGUCAGAGCGCGUUAAUGCGUGAUGGCGUGCCUUUUGUAGAAUGAACCGGCGAGUUAUGAUCCCGUGCAAGGUUAAGACUAAAAAGUCGGAGCCGUAGCGAAAGCGAGUCUGAAAUGGGCGUUUUGAGUACGAGGUUAUAGACCCGAAACCAGGUGACCUAUCCAUGUCCAGGUUGAAGGUGCGGUAAAACGCACUGGAGGACCGAACCCGUGUAAGUUGAAAAUUGCUGGGAUGAGGUGUGGAUAGCGGUGAAAUUCCAAACGAACUUGGAGAUAGCUGGUUCUCUCCGAAAUAGCUUUAGGGCUAGCCUCGGAAUUAGGAUCAUGGAGGUAGAGCACUAUUUGGACUAGGGGCCCGUCUUGGGUUACUGAAUUCAGAUAAACUCCGAAUGCCAUUGAUUCAUAUCCGGGAGUCAGACGAUGAGUGAUAAGAUCCACCGUCGAAAGGGGAACAGCCCAGACCAUCAGUUAAGGUCCCUAAAUGUAUGCUAAGUGGAAAAGGAUGUGGAGUUGCAUAGACAACUAGGAUGUUGGCUCAGAAGCAGCCACCAUUUAAAGAGUGCGUAAUAGCUCACUAGUCGAGUGAUCCUGCGCCGAAAAUGUACCGGGGCUAAGCAUACUACCGAAACCAUGGAUGCGACCAUUAGGUCGCGUGAUAGGAGAGCGUUCUAAGGGCGGUGAAGCAAGAUCGUGAGGACUUGUGGAGCGCUUAGAAGUGAGAAUGCCGGUAUGAGUAGCGAAAGAUAGGUGAGAAUCCUAUCCACCGAAUGACUAAGGUUUCCUGGGGAAGGCUCGUCCUCCCAGGGUUAGUCGGGACCUAAGUCGAGGCCGAGAGGCGUAGACGAUGGAUAACAGGUUGAGAUUCCUGUACUAGUUAAGUGCGUUUGAGCAAUGGAGGGACGCAGGAGGCUAAGAUGUGCAUUCUGUUGGAUUAGAAUGUCCAAGCAGUAAGUCUUGUGAAGAGUCAAAUGCUUUUCACUUUAAGGACAAGCUGUGAUGGGGAGCGAAAUUUAGUAGCGAAGCGUCUGAUGUCACACUGCCGAGAAAAGCUUCUAGUGAGUACUUAACUACCCGUACCGCAAACCGACACAGGUAGUCGAGGAGAGAAUCCUAAGGUGAGCGAGUGAACUCUCGUUAAGGAACUCGGCAAAAUGACCCCGUAACUUCGGGAGAAGGGGUGCUGAUCGCAAGAUCAGCCGCAGUGAAUAGGCCCAGGCGACUGUUUAUCAAAAACACAGGUCUCUGCAAAAUCGUAAGAUGACGUAUAGGGGCUGACGCCUGCCCGGUGCUGGAAGGUUAAAAGGAUGGGUUAGCUUCGGCGAAGCUCAGAAUUGAAGCCCCAGUAAACGGCGGCCGUAACUAUAACGGUCCUAAGGUAGCGAAAUUCCUUGUCGGGUAAGUUCCGACCCGCACGAAAGGCGUAACGAUCUGGGCACUGUCUCAACGAGAGACUCGGUGAAAUUAUAUUGUCCGUGAAGAUGCGGACUACCCGCGACAGGACGGAAAGACCCCAUGGAGCUUUACUGUAGCUUGAUAUUGAGUGUUUGUACAGCUUGUACAGGAUAGGUAGGAGCCAUAGAAACCGGAACGCUAGUUUCGGUGGAGGCGUUGGUGGGAUACUACCCUCGCUGUAUGACCACUCUAACCCGCACCACUAAUCGUGGUGGGAGACAGUGUCAGGUGGGCAGUUUGACUGGGGCGGUCGCCUCCUAAAAAGUAACGGAGGCGCCCAAAGGUUCCCUCAGAAUGGUUGGAAAUCAUUCGCAGAGUGUAAAGGCACAAGGGAGCUUGACUGCGAGACAGACAGGUCGAGCAGGGACGAAAGUCGGGCUUAGUGAUCCGGUGGUACCGUAUGGAAGGGCCAUCGCUCAACGGAUAAAAGCUACCCUGGGGAUAACAGGCUUAUCUCCCCCAAGAGUCCACAUCGACGGGGAGGUUUGGCACCUCGAUGUCGGCUCAUCGCAUCCUGGGGCUGUAGUCGGUCCCAAGGGUUGGGCUGUUCGCCCAUUAAAGCGGUACGCGAGCUGGGUUCAGAACGUCGUGAGACAGUUCGGUCCCUAUCCGUCGCGGGCGUAGGAAAUUUGAGAGGACCUGUCCUUAGUACGAGAGGACCGGGAUGGACAUACCUCUGGUGUACCAGUUGUGCCGCCAGGCGCAUCGCUGGGUAGCUACGUAUGGAUGUGAUAAACGCUGAAAGCAUCUAAGUGUGAAACACACCUCGAGAUGAGAUUUCCCAUUCCUUUAUGGAAGUAAGACCCCUGAAAGAUGAUCAGGUAGAUAGGUUAGAAGUGGCAGUGCGGUGACGCAUGAAGCGGACUAAUACUAAUCGGUCGAGGACUUAACCAAG